rnacentral:lncRNA from 1 species
AACACUCACUGCACAGGUCAGGAGUUCAGGCCACUCCCGUGUCCUCACAGUGAGCUGGCUGCGGAUCCAGGCCCGUGUUUCCCUGGAUUCUAUUGGCCAGAGGCUGUGGUCUCCAGUCGCUGUGCAUGGAAAUCUGUCAAACUGGUUGAUAGGCAUGAAAUUCACAUUCAAAAAUAUCAACUUGACAUGGACCAAAUGAGAAUCUACUCAGCUCUGGGAAGAGACAAUGCUUCAGAAGAACUGACCACAGAUACCUGCCCUGAGUGAGGAUGAUUGCACUUUGAUAUCUGAAAUCGUGUGCAAGUAAUUUUGAUAAGGUGAGGGUAAACUCAACCUGGAGGAAGGCAAAAGAAGAAAGUCAACAUAACAAAUACACUUGAAACAACAAGGCCCUGCACGUUGAAAAAAGAUUUGCAAAAUGAAAUUCUUAUUCCAAGACUGUAUGUUAAAAGCAUGAAAAAAAGAAAAGGAAUUGUGAGUUUUCAUUUAUACAAACAAGAUCAUAAGUCACUGUACUAAUAUAAAUAGGUAAAUGAAUAAACAAAUCACUGUUUUAUUGACAUCUUGUAGGAAAGAUCCAUAUUCUGGAGCAAAACAAAGCCAAAAAGAAAAGAAGAAAGAAAUCCUAAAUCCUUUCAUUUUUGUCAUCAUUAAAAUUAAUCAAUUAAUCAACUAGUAAUUACACAGUACUAAUGUGUAAUUGCCAGACUUAUAAUUAAGCAUGCACUUUUUAAAACAAAAGUGAUCAAGUUUGAAUCUUUAAUGAUGUAGGGAAGGUUCUAUGUUAUGAAUUUGUCCUUUGCAAAAAUAAUUGGGCCAUGAGUGGUCUGUUCUCAUAGGUAAGAUUAAGGCCAGUGGAAAAGGGAAAGUUUAGGCAGAUGUGGUGGCACAGGGCUAUAAUCCAAGGACUCCAAGAGGCUGAGGCAGGAGGAUAGCAAGUUUGAGCUCAACCAGGGCAAUGCAUUGACUUAGCAAAUAAAACAUAAUCUCAAAGUAAAAUUUAAUAGGGAAGGGAGGAG